UUAAGUUCAGCGGGUAUCCCUACCUGAUCCGAGGUCAAAGACGAUGGUUGCUUUGUGGAUGCGAGCCGCACACCUCAAGAAACGCAAUUGUGCUGCGCGAGAGGAGGCAAGGACGCUGCCAAUGCAUUUGGGGCGAGUCCACGCACAGAGGCGGGACAGACGCCCAACACCAAGCAGAGCUUGAGGGUGUAGAUGACGCU
rnacentral:misc_RNA from 1 species